UACGUAGGGUGCGAGCGUUGUCCGGAAUUACUGGGCGUAAAGAGCGUGUAGGCGGCCGUACAGGUCAGCUGUGAAAACUCGAGGCUCAACCUCGAGACGUCGGUUGAAACCGUACGGCUAGAGUCCGGAAGAGGAGAGUGGAAUUCCCGGUGUAGCGGUGAAAUGCGCAGAUAUCGGGAAGAACACCCGUGGCGAAGGCGGUUCUCUGGGACGGUACUGACGCUGAGACGCGAAAGCGUGGGAGCGAACAGG
rnacentral:rRNA from 1 species